rnacentral:rRNA from 1 species
AGGAUCAUUAUCGAGUUUUUGAAUGGGGUUGUUGCUGGCCUACUUGGGCAUGUGCACGCUCUAUUCAAUCCACUCUUUAUUAUACACACCUGUGCACUUAUAGUAGGCAUGAAGGGAUCAGUUUUGUUAUUACAGAGCUGUUUCUCCUUGUGCUUAUGUUUUUAUUAUUAUCAAUGCGGAAACUGUAUUGGGAUGUGCAAUGGAAUAUAAAUAUAUAUAUUUAUAAUACAACUUUCAGCAACGGAUCUCUUGGCUCUCGCAUCGAUGAAGAACGCAGCGAAAUGCGAUAAGUAAUGUGAAUUGCAGAAUUCAGUGAAUCAUCGAAUCUUUGAACGCACCUUGCGCUCCUUGGUAUUCCGAGGAGCAUGCCUGUUUGAGUGUCAUGAAAUUAUCAACCGAUAAACACUUGUGUUUAUAGGAUUGGAUAUUGGAGGGCUUUUGUUGGCCUUUAAUAGGUCGGCUCCUCUGAAAUGUAUUAGCUUGGUUUGUUGCGGAUCAGGUGUCAGUGUGAUAAGCUUAUGUUUCUGCGCUGUGACUGUGAAGUGUAUUUGACCAAGCUUCUAACAAAAUGAUAUAUGGGAUUUUUGGGCUUCUGACCUCAAAUCAGGUAGGAGUACCCGCUGAACUUAAGCAUAUCAAUAAGCGGAGGAAAAGAAACUAACAAGGAUUCCCCUAGUAACUGCGAGUGAAGCGGGAAAAGCUCAAAUUUAAAAUC